CAAGAGGUAUUUUAAGUCCUAAGAAUUCUGGCUUUGGAGGCCAGGGGUGGGGGUGAAAAUCCCCCCCUUUUGA
rnacentral:tRNA from 1 species